rnacentral:pre_miRNA from 1 species
GUUCUACUCCCUCCGCCCAAAAAUACUUGUCAUUGAAAUGGAUGUAUCUAGAUGUAUUUUAGUUCUAGACACAUCCAUUUUGAUGACAAGUAAUUCCGGACGGAGGGAGUACUUG